rnacentral:rRNA from 1 species
CAGGGAUUGCCUCAGUAACGGCGAGUGAAGCGGCAAGAGCUCAACUUUGGAAUCGCUCCGGCGAGUUGUAGUCUGGAGGUGGCCACCACGAGGUGUUCUAGCAGCAGGCAAGUCCUUUGGAACAAGGCGCCAGCGAGGGUGACAGCCCCGUACCUGCUUUUGCUAGUGCUUCCUGUGGCCCACCGACGAGUCGAGUUGUUUGGGAAUGCAGCUCUAAGUGGGUGGUAAAUUCCAUCUAAGGCUAAAUAUUGGCGAGAGACCGAUAGCGAACAAGUACAGUGAUGGAAAGAUGAAAAGCACUUUGAAAAGAGAGUGAAACAGUACGUGAAAUUGUUGAAAGGGAAGGGCUUGCACCCAGACACGGUUUCGGCCGGGCCAGCAUCAAGUAGAACGGGGUUAAAAGACCUGGGGAAUGUAGCUACCUCUUGGUAGUGUUAUAGCCCUUGGGUGAUGACCCCUGUUUUGCUUGAGGACAGCGGUCUCUAGGAUGCUGGCGCAAUGGUUGCAAGCCACCCGUCUUGAAACACGGACCAAGGAGUCUAACGUCUAUGCGAGUGUACGGGUGAAAAACCCCUGCGCGGAAUGAAAGUAAGAGGUUGGAACCCUCUCGGGGGUGCACAAUCGACCGACCCAGAAGUGCUCGGACGGGUUUGAGUAGGAGCAUAGCUGUUGGGACCCGAAAGAUGGUGAACUAUACCUGAAUAGGGUGAAGCCAGAGGAAACUCUGGUGGAGGCUCGUAGCGGUUCUGACGUGCAAAUCGAUCGUCGAAUUUGGGUAUAGGGGCGA